rnacentral:ncRNA from 1 species
GCUAGCGGCUAGUUAAACCAUCUGGGGAAUGGCUCGGUUCGGGCGCUGAAGAAGGUCGUGCCAAGCUGCGAUAAGCGCCGGGUAAGCGCAGGGAGCUUUUGAUCCGGCGAUAACCGAAUGGGACUUCCUGCUCUUCGGAGCAAUCCGUGAGGAUAGGGAACCGGGGGGAUUGAAGCAUCUUAGUACCCCGAGGAAAAGAAAUCAAUAGAGAUGCCGUCAGUAAAGGCGAUCGAACGCGGCAGAGGGCAAACUGAAUCCUGCCCAGAAAUGGGCCGGAGAUGUGGUGUUGAAGACCCUGGUACAUCUUAACCUGCUAACCCGAAAUCCACUGGAAUGUGGUGCCAAAGAGGGUGACAGCCCUGUAGAGAUAAGCGGGAAAGAUGAUUCAGGAGUUCUUGAGUAGCGCGCCUUGGAUAUGGCGCGUGAAUCUGGGAGCCAUUUGCUUCCAACCCUAAAUACGACCCGAGACCGAUAGUGCAGUAGUAGCGUGAGCGAAAGCUGAAAAGUACCCCUAGCGGGAGGUGCAAAGUGCCUGAAACCAGGUGGUGACAGUAAUAUACGGCAUGCAAGGGACGAAGCUCGAAAGAGUGGACCGAUGUCGUAUUAUCCGUUUUGAAUAACGGGCCAGGGAGUUCGGACCGAUGGCGAGGUUAAUUGGAUAACCAAGCAACCGAAGGGAAACCGACAAGUCCGCAACCCGCAAGGGCCAGGGACGAGGUGGGCUCGCCUG